GAAAGGCCCAUAACGUGGCUGCAAGUGGUGCCAACUAUCUUCAAAUCUGAGUCACUGCAGAAAUGCUAGACAGCGAGUGGAGAGAGACAAGCAUGAAAGAGGAAGCAAAACGGGCAACGGAGACAAAGGUGGAAUCAGUACCUUCCUUGAACAGCUGAAAGAUCUUCACAACGUAAAAAUCAUGAUAAUACGUAGCCCUUGUAUACUAGCUUUUGUGUGAGGAUCCCAAGAAAGGAAUGCAGAGGAUAGCCCAGCUUCAGCUACUUCAGAGCGGAGUCCAAAACCAUACAGCACAAAAUAAAACAAUUACUGAAAAAUACACACUAGAGAGGAAGAAGACACAGUGGUUUCAGAUGCAUCAUUGCCCUGUGGCUCACAGCUUAUGGAAAAUGGAGAGCUUGGUACUCAAUAAAUGGUGAGAGGAGAAAACAACC